rnacentral:rRNA from 1 species
UACGGGGGGGGCAAGCGUUGUUCGGAAUUACUGGGCGUAAAGGGCUCGUAGGCGGCCAACUAAGUCAGACGUGAAAUCCCUCGGCUUAACCGGGGAACUGCGUCUGAUACUGGAUGGCUUGAGUUUGGGAGAGGGAUGCGGAAUUCCAGGUGUAGCGGUGAAAUGCGUAGAUAUCUGGAGGAACACCGGUGGCGAAGGCGGCAUCCUGGACCGAUACUGACGCUGAGGCGCGAAGGCCAGGGGAGCAAACGGG